GGAGAGAUGCCGGAGGGCCGAACGGGAUUGACUCGAAAUCAAUUGUGGCAGCAAUGCCACCCAGGGUUCGAAUCCUGUCUCUCCACCA
rnacentral:tRNA from 1 species